GUUUAGGUGAUGAUAGAAAAGUUUAUGCAUAGUUCAACUGAUCAUAACUGAAGAAAAACUCUACCAUCGUCUUUCGCUCCUAUCUGAUUCUAUAU
rnacentral:snoRNA from 1 species